AGGCAGUAGGAGAUAUGCUAACCAUGAGAACAUUAAAUUAAUAAUAAUAAUAAUAAUCAAACAUCAACAACUACAACAAAUAAGAACUGUACUUAUAUAAAUUGCUUUACAUGCAACUAUCCUGGUUGGGAAAUGGGAAACCCUAAUUAUUGGCACCUCUACACAAUAAUUCUGGCCCACUUUUGUUGGCUCAACAUCAGCAAGGGAAGGGUCGACUCCAACAAAGAGACAUUCUUCAUGUACAACACCUGCUUAUGGUGUGAAAAAUGUAGGGUGAGCUAUCAAUAGCACUAAACUAUUACCACAUUUAGCAAUAACAUAAUUUACAUUUGCGAGGUUUUUGGAGAAAACCAUUUGUGAUGUAUGGAGGUUCUCAAAUUUUUUGCUUGUGCACAUGGUUAACUUUUGGGUCCCAGAUGACUUGAAAU
rnacentral:lncRNA from 1 species